UGGGGAAUAUUGGACAAUGGGGGCAACCCUGAUCCAGCAAUACCGCGUGUGUGAAGAAGGCCUGCGGGUUGUAAAGCACUUUCAAUUGUGAAGAUUGGUUAGACGAUUAAUACUCGUUUAGCCUGACGUUAACUUUAGAAGAAGCACCGGCUAACUCAGUGCCAGCAGCCGCGGUAAUACUGAGGGUGCAAGCGUUAAUCGGAAUUACUGGGCGUAAAGCGCGCGUAGGCGGUUCGUUAAGUCAGAUGUGAAAGCCCUGGGCUCAACCUGGGAACUGCAUUUGGUACUGAUAGGCUUGAGUUAUUGUGAAGUGGUUAGAAUGUGUGGUGUAGCGGUGAAAUGCUUAGAUA
rnacentral:rRNA from 1 species